GACGAACGCUGGCGGCGUGCCUAAUACAUGCAAGUAGAACGCUGAAGGAGGAGCUUGCUUCUCUGGAUGAGUUGCGAACGGGUGAGUAACGCGUAGGUAACCUGCCUGGUAGCGGGGGAUAACUAUUGGAAACGAUAGCUAAUACCGCAUAAUAGCAGUUAUUGCAUGAUAACUGUUUGAAAGGUGCAAUUGCACCACUACCAGAUGGACCUGCGUUGUAUUAGCUAGUUGGUGGGGUAACGGCUCACCAAGGCGACGAUACAUAGCCGACCUGAGAGGGGGAUCGGCCACACUGGGACUGAGAAACGGCCCAGACUCCUACGGGAGGCAGCAGUAGGGAAUCUUCGGCAAUGGACGGAAGUCUGACCGAGCAACGCCGCGUGAGUGAAGAAGGUUUUCGGAUCGUAAAGCUCUGUUGUAAGAGAAGAACGAGUGUGAGAGUGGAAAGUUCACACUGUGACGGUAUCUGACCAGAAAGGGACGGCUAACUACGUG
rnacentral:rRNA from 1 species